rnacentral:tRNA from 1 species
GCUAUAGCUCAGUGGUAGAGCACCUGCCAAGCAUGUACAAGGCCCUGGGUUCCAUCCCUAGUGCUGCA